rnacentral:rRNA from 1 species
GGAUCAGUACGUUGGUCGUGCCUUGGUACGUACUGAUGUAACUGAUUCCUCCCUUCUGACGAACCGUCAUGCCAUUCACUUGGUGUGGCGGGAAAUCAGGACUGUUACUUUGAAAAAAUUAGAGUGUUUAAAGCAGGCCUACGCUUGAAUACAUUAGCAUGGAAUAAUAGAAUAGGACUU